CGAAUAGACUACCCGAGGUAGUCCACGCCGUAAACGAUGGAUACUAGCUGUUCGGGAUUACCUGAGUGGCUAAGCGAAAGUGAUAAGUAUCCCACCUGGGGAGUACGGGCGCAAGCCUGAAACUCAAAGGAAUUGACGGGGGCCCGCACAAGCGGUGGAGCAUGUGGUUUAAUUCGAUGAUACGCGAGGAACCUUACCAGGGCUUAAAUGUAGGUUGCAUGAUCCAGAGAUGGGUCUUUCUUCGGACCACCUACAAGGUGCUGCAUGGUUGUCGUCAGCUCGUGCCGUGAGGUGUCAAGUUAAGUCCUAUAACGAGCGCAACCCCUAUUGUUAGUUGCCAGCGAGUCAUGUCGGGAACUCUAGCAAGACUGCCGGUGCAAACCGUGAGGAAGGUGGGGAUGACGUCAAAUCAUCACGGCCCUUACGUCCUGGGCUACACACGUGCUACAAUGGUGGGACAGAGAGCAGCCAUGGGCGACCAGGAGCGAAUCUAUAAACCCCGAUCACAGUUCGGAUCGGAGUCUGA
rnacentral:rRNA from 1 species